rnacentral:pre_miRNA from 1 species
AAAGUACUCCCUCCGUCCCAAAAUUCUUGUCGUAGAUUUGUCUAGAUAUGGAUGUAUAUAAUACUAAAAUGUGACUUGAUACAUUCGUAUUUAGACAAAUGUAAGACAAGAAUUUUGGGACGGAGGGAGUACUAA